UGGGGGAUAGCUCAGUGGUAGAGCACUUGUCUAACAUGUAGGAGGCCCUGGGUUUGCUGCCCAGCAGUCCAA
rnacentral:tRNA from 1 species